rnacentral:misc_RNA from 1 species
AGAAAGGAGAUUUUGAGGAAAAAUUAGCUUUGAUUAAUCCUCUCAAGCUAUGAUUGUAUGCAUAUAUAAUUAGAGUCCCUUUUAGGGAAGAAUUACACAAUUUUAGUAAUCAAGAGAUUCCUUGAUUAUGGGGAUUUAGAUCAAUCUGUACAUUCCUAUUCUAACAGUCUCCCUCAGGCUGGAUCGUACUUAUUGUAUAUUCCUAGCUUAUUACAAAUAUACUCAAU